rnacentral:rRNA from 1 species
GAUGAACGCUGGCGGCGUGCUUAACACAUGCAAGUCGAACGGUGAAGCAGAGCUUGCUCUGUGGAUCAGUGGCGAACGGGUGAGUAACACGUGAGCAACCUGCCCCUGACUCUGGGAUAAGCGCUGGAAACGGCGUCUAAUACUGGAUAUGAGCUGCGACCGCCUGGUCAGCAGUUGGAAAGAUUUUUCGGUCUGGGAUAGGCUCACGGCCUAUCAGCUUGUUGGUGAGGUAAUGGCUCACCAAGGCGUCGACGGGUAGCCGGCCUGAGAGGGUGACCGGCCACACUGGGACUGAGACACGGCCCAGACUCCUACGGGAGGCAGCAGUGGGGAAUAUUGCACAAUGGGCGAAAGCCUGAUGCAGCAACGCCGCGUGAGGGAUGACGGCCUUCGGGUUGUAAACCUCUUUUAGCAGGGAAGAAGCGAAAGUGACGGUACCUGCAGAAAAAGCGCCGGCUAACUACGUG